AUUUCAGGGCUAGAGCGAUGGCUUGGUAGUUAGUGCUCACUGCUUUUACAGAGGACCUGGGUUCUGCUUCCAGUACCCACACGGAGCUAACAGCUACUGUAACUCUAGUUCUAGGGGAUCCAACACCCUGACCUCCAUGGACUCCUGAAUGCAUUUGGUAUACAUACAUGUACUCAGGUACACACACAUACACAUAAAAUAUUUUAAUAACAUAAAAGAAACUAUCUCCAUGAGCUGAGCUGUACUUUGGUAAUGUGUAGCCUUAUCUAAGGAUGGUUAAUGUAUUAACAAAGUUAAGGGAAACACAAAGAUACCAUUCAGAUAUAACUGUGCUCCUACAGGAAUAAACUAGAAGGCAUCUGUAAGCCCUGUGUCCUCUCUCAAACCAUAGUUCUUCAGUUUAAUUUGCUAUCAAGUUCUGUUCAAGUCAGUCAUGGAAUUUAGGACAACUAUGUUUCAUAACCUGACAUAGUUAUGUUUGAACAUUAUUUCUUCUGAUAUUUUGAACUUCUCAUCACCAGAGAGUUGUGAUUGUUGUGCAGAUUGUUGAUGUCGAUUGUGGAUAGCCAGAGGUUAGGGUAGUGUCAGAAAGAAUCACUGACAUUGAUGCUCAUCAGAUGAUCCUGCUGGUCCAGUUGUGCCCCUGAUGGCAGAGUUGAGGCUGGACAGUGUCGAGGAUGGCUUUAUCCAGCUGGGGUCAGGUCAGAGUCUUACCUUGGGCAGUAUCAUAGCAAAGCAGCAAUUUGAGCUUUCACUUUACUUACUGAGGAAGAAUAGAUAAAAUGUGAGAGUGAGAGGUGAAGCUCUUCAGUCUAGAAAAGCAAGGCAAGGACAGAUCAACUUGUGAACUCUGAGAAGUCAUGGAAACCUAGGGAACUGCAAACAGAAACAAAUGUAGGCUUGACUUUGUGUUAAAAUGCUAUUUACAUUUUUACCUUUGUAAAAGAUUAUAGACUAUGGCAUCUUUUGUUGUUUUUUGUGGUUCCUUUUAAGGGUUAUUUUUCCAUUUGCUUUUUUUUGUUGUUGUUUGCUUAAUAGUUUGCAGAAUUGAAGGUUUUGUGUGUGCUUAACCAGACACUCUACUAUGGAACCACUGAACUCUAUAUCCCCAGCCUUCAUUUUGUUUUAAACUUACUAAUUUACAGUACUUUGGAGCAGUAGAAAUUGCAAACAGGGUUACCUCAAAAUUAAAGUGUCUUAUGAAUGAGGUAGUGUCAUGCACAUGUCCUGGUUUGUAUAUAAGAGUCAGCAUCACCUAUGCCAACUCUCCAUUACUUCCACUAUUGUCCAGACUCCAAGCCAAUAAUAUGCACAAGUCAGAUAGGUUGUGAAGCAAGUAUAUUGUACUGUGGCCUCUCAUUUUUAUGCAGAUGUCCUCUUGGAGUAGACAUAUCCAAAGAAGUCGCAGAAGCUGCCAUAAAAGUACCACAAUUAAAAAUACAAUUUGAUUGUGAUUCUUAAAGCUCUCUACAGCUCUCAAGCGUGCAUAACUCCAGUUCCAGUGGAUCCAGCAUCCUUUUCUGAACUCAGAUGUGGCAGCAUGCACAGGGCCUCCACAGGUUCAAGCCAUAUGGGUCCCAGUACUGAGAGGGGAAGUGGAAAUGAGCUCACAUCCCUAACCAAGAAGCUAUCUCCAACUGAUAAUCCACUUGCAAAGGAAAAAUUAGUUUUCUCCAAUGGCAUCUAACUGGUUGUAUUAUCCACACUUGAGGAUAGGCUCCAUGCCCAGCAAUAGAUGGACAACACAAAAUAAACUCAAUGGUAUUUUUGUAGA